GGACGUGAGAGCCCUCUGGCUGCGAUAUCUGUCAUUCCAUUGGUCACCAGGGUUGACUGAGCUGGCUGCCUAGGCUGGUGUCCCCUUCCUACCUCCGUAUGUGUCUUCCUGAAGCUGCAUGCUCAAUUGAAGAGGACGACCAUCGCCCAUAGAGGAGGACCAUUCUUCGGUCAAGUGCAUUUGGGUAACUGUGCUUCCCUGGCAGAACUCCCAAACAAGUUCUAGAAAGCUGCAUCUUAUCUCCCAGGCAUGGCAGCUCCCACUCAGCCAGGGACAGUUCUCCAAGGAAGGAGGCAGCUGUGCACA
rnacentral:snRNA from 1 species